UUUAGUGAGCACCCCCAAGAAGAGCAUUUUAAAUUUCGCGCGAGUUAUCCCACGUCCAAUCACACAUGCAGCGAACGUCACGUCUCGAGUCUGCGCAGUUCAGACGUAAGGAGACCAUGCUAUGGAAUAGAUCGCGUUCUGUCAAUUCAGAGGACAGGAAUGAUCUGCAGCUGCAUUUGAACAUAUUUGGUGACUACAUCUCAAAGAUGACCAAGAGAGAGGAUCGAGCUAUGACUUUGCACAUCCCAUCGACUUCGGUGUUCACCAGUGCAAUCAUCAGAAGAGCCAGGCAAUUCUAGUAUUCAAGUAUUUCAUUCUGUAAUACUUACCUCAAAAUUUACUAAAUAAAGAAAACCGCAUGUGGCAGUUGGUUAAAAAAAUCAA